UGUGACGGACUGGUCUGUGUCUGGUCUGUGACGGACUGGUCUGUGACUGGUCUGACGGUGCUGGUUGCAGCAGACUCCUGUUGAGCCUUUAAGCUGUUUGGGUAACCUGCACCAUGGUCAUACCUCACAGGGGAUUCCGUGUACACCCACACAUGCACGCGCUCGUGUUUGAGAGUGGCCUUAGCAGCGUCGUGUCUCAAAGCUGCUUGCAUGAUCCUCUUAAGCGCCGGAAGCCCGUAACAGCAAAUCCCCCAUUGAAAACCACAUUAGUCAUGCACAACAGAUUUUAGAUUUACAAAAUGGGGAUAUGCAAAUCAAUAGGUAAGUAACUCCCGCCAACCAAUCCGCUUGAGGGAGGCCUGCUGGUGGUGUUGGAACGCUGGGUACAGACAUGGAGCCCUGCAGCCUGUGAUGCUGCUUCAAGGUGUAGCCGUGUAUUGGUGGGCAGGAGGGUCAGCCUGACUUCCACAGCUACAGAGGAUCUGUCAGGAUCAGCGGUUCGUUCAGUACCUCUCACACUGUCUGGGAACGUAUGUUCACUAGUGGGCCAAAUGGCAACACUGUCCUGUCAUUUCUACUGAUCAGGUCGGCCAACCGGAAGCGCGAUCUGCUGUUUGAUUUCGUGUCGCCCACGUAAGAUGUAUUUCAUCCAUGUAUCUAAAUAAGAGCGUCGGCAUAGGGCUGGUUUAAGUAAGGCAUUGUAAGAUCUCGGCCGUCAGAAGCCCUGAGUCCUGGAGAGAUCUGCCGCCUGAAAGGGCAGUCUGAGGGUUUUACUCAUGUAGAGUGUGUGAGUACUCCACCCAUGUCACCUUGUCGCCGUCAUAGCCACAUUUUGUCUUUGAUUGAAUACAACAUCGACCCGGAUCAAACAUUUCAAAUUUGACUCCCCCCACUGUUUUUUUGGGGGGGGUUUCUCAUGUCAAUGUGAUGAUUUUGAAUUAAUGGAUGUUUCCAUAAGAGGCUAGAUCUUUAGACUGUGAUAUACAUUACCAUUCAGAGUACUGUGUCAUAAAAGAAGACAUGUUUUGCCACCGUUGAUACCUGUUGCAGUGUUAUUACAGGGUGGUUAUUUAUUCACCUUGAUUCUAUGUUCUUAAUAUAAGAAGUGAUUGGAUGUGAGACCAUAUAUCACGGGUAUGACAAAACAUUUUUCUAUUUUAUUGUGUUGGGAACAUGUUUAUUGUAGGAAAAAGGCCCUUUUUGGUAUUUUCUAGAUCGUAUAUUUGUAAUAAUGUCUUUGCUGUGUUAUAAUGUCCAUAUAACGCACCCACUCGGGCCUUAUUACUUAUAGCAUUUGGUAAAUGUUUGUGCCAAGUGUAGGCAAACGUGCCUAAAUGUUUUGUAUUGAUCUUUUACUCUAAAUCAAACUGUUGUGUCAUAACUCUAAUUUACUUUAAUCACGGAGUCCGUAAUACUAAUGAAAGAGGCUUCUGCACUUUGCCACCAGCACUAAAACCCAAGUAAUUUUUUACAGCACUUAUUUUAAAACAUUUGCACUGAUGUGUCUUUGUGCACCAAAGCCUUUUUACACCACCAGAGUGGUGUUCGGUGUUGUGCCUUAUUGUCGGUAACCUCUCCAGAUCAUCACACACUAACUCCAUUUUCUGCUUGGGGAUGCUGCUUACAAAAAUAUGAAAAUAUGCUGUCCAUUUCAGUAGCCUUACAGUCCACAUUUUGACCGUAAGGCUUAAUGCAGACUAAGGAAAAUAUGGUCUACAUUUCGGUGUAGCCUUAUGGUGAUAUGCGAGAAAGAGGGUCCAUUUUUAUUUCAUCUUUUACUGUGUUUUGUUGUGGAUUUUGUCAUAUUAACCAAUAGGAUUGCAUUGUUUUAAUAUAUUGAUUGAAAUACUAACACCUUCCAGUAGUGUUAGCUUAUGCAGUGUUCGUAGUUCCAGUACCAAAGAUUCAUCUUCUCUAUACAAUUUUGUGAACCACAGUAUUUUUAUGCUGAUUUGGAUUUAAAAAAAAAUGUAACUAGUAUUUGAUUAACAGUUGAUUUUGUUAGUAUUAAAAUGAUUGUAUACAAUAUUUAAUGAAUUAAAUGUAUUUUUUAUUUUUAAUGAACCAGUCUGUGCCGUGUAAUUGUGGUCAUCUGUCUUUGAUUAGUACUGUAGCUAAUUAUCACACUCAGAUCUGUAUUGCACUUGAUUUGAACACAUGAAUAAAAAUAGACAUUUCAGCAGCA